CCAAACUUCCAGGCUUGAAGUUGAGGCUCUAAAUAUAUUUCACAGAUGCCUGGUAAAUUGGGUCUAUUUUCAAGCCUUACUCUCCUUUUUUUAGUUAAAAACAAAACAAAACAAAAAUAUACCAAAAACAAACAAAACUUUAUACCCAAGUAGUUUUUAAAGAAAAGGAGAAUAUGCAUUUUAGAGGAAGGGAGAGAUUCUUGUAGUUGUAUGAGGCAGAGUAAGACCUGAGAAGAAAGUCUUUUCCUGAGAUUAUUUUUGCUUCUUGAUUCUGUAUACAGAAAAGUGCCAUUAAAAUCCCUUUAACAUUUUUUCCCUCUGAAACAUGAUGCAAAUAUCUUGGGAGAAAAUGCUUGCCUAGCUCUGUGAUGUCACAACCCAAACGGUAUUAAUUCUACUGGCAUUAUGGAGACUCAAGCUCAGGCAAAAGUAUCUUCUAUAAUUAAGGGAAAAUAGCUGUUAUGAGACACAAUGCACAUUCCUCACUGAGACUCUGAUUUUGUUGCAAAAAGGCAGCCCCCAGCAGGUCUAGUGAAGGAGCCAGUAUUAACUGGCUUGCUUGAUCCCUUCCAAUAAAGAACUUAGUCCCUAGGGAAGGGUGAAGAAGGUUAGAAGCUUUGCUUUUAAUCGCCAUGGCCUAAUCCCAGAUUGCCUCUAUUCAAAUCUGCCUUUGUAAUUGAAAUUGUGGCUUUAAAAUAGUAGUGGGGAUUUAUUCAAGAGUGUUUCCAAAAAGCCAGAAUGCCCAGGUGGCCUCGUCAGUGCAAUAUGGUCUAGAACUAGAAGUCUGGGAGUAUAGAAAAGGACUGUAAUCAGAGAAAUAAAGGAGGAGUCUGGAAAAGUCUAAGAAGAGGAUGCUGGCAAGGCAGCUUUGAUUCUGAGGCCUCUUAUCUUGGCCUACAGAGAGAGACAGAGCAUGAACGGGGGAGGGGCAGAGAGAGG